UGGAAAGAAGCUGGUCUCAGUCAACAUUUCUUCUUCCCAAGGCAGUUCAUCUGAUGUGUAGGAGAGAAAUGAAAAAUAAGCUGCAUAGACUAAAAGAUCCUUGGCUACAACUGAAUUGAUGGGAGUUUUUGGAUUCUUGGAGAAAGAGUACAUAUUAUGGUGUGGGGUUUUUUUGGAAAAAGAUAAAUAUCAAUGAGGAAAAUUUGAGAAGGAAGAAAUACCAUGAAAGUGUAUUUUCAUUGGACAGAGAACCCCUGGAAGAGCAAUCCUAGAUCUGCAUUCUGCACUUGGAAACAAAAAAACAAUAAUCACCAAACAAACCAACAGAAUUUCACAUGCAGAACAGCUUCAUGGAGCAUGGAGUGGAUGGUCAACCAUGCUGUCUGGAACACUGAAAACUUGGCCUGCCCAAGAGUCACAAGGACUUCUAGUACCCAGACAAGCCGUAGGAGAGCACGCAUUUGGAAAGGACUGUGUGCAGGAGAUGGCAGCGAUUGCCCUGCAAUCUCACUGCCCUUGUGUGAAGCAGGACUGGGCAGCGUCCUGACUAUUUUGCUGACAGCUUCCACUGGCUCACUUCCUCCCAGAGCCAGGGUUUUGGGUUACCCAGCCAGGCCAGCAGGCUUUCAUUGCCAGUCAUGUGAUACAUCUUUGGCAUGGAAAUUUUUUUUGUAUUGUGCGUAAGCCACGUGCAGCAAAAGGUUAGCCCUGUUGAAAUCCAAAGCCUAAAAUUAUCUUUGCAGUCCUUCUCUGAAAUAAACUAUAAAUAGUUCUUCCAUAGCAUAUACAAUAGAUUUCCUAAGUAUGCUUGGGAACAUUCUAUAUAGAGCAUAAGAAGUUGUUUUGAAGUCAUAAUAGAAAACCUUAUUUCAUUUGGUUUGUAAUCUCAUUAUAAAUGAAGUAAGAAAGUCUUUCUAACAGUUUUGCCUCUUUGGAAAGCUGAACUUUCAACCACAGUUUAUCAACGUACUGAGCUCUGACUCAGUUUGGAAUUUCUUUUUAAGGAAAAAAAGAUGAAAGCACAUCAUAUGAUGUUAAAUAUCAG